AGAGUUUGAUCAUGGCUCAGAACGAACGCUGGCGGCAGGCUUAACACAUGCAAGUCGAACGCCCCGCAAGGGGAGUGGCGCACGGGUGAGUAACGCGUGGGAAUGUACUGUUUAGUGGGGGAUAACUUCGGGAAACUGAAGCUAAUACNNCAUACGCCCGAGAGGGGAAAGAUUUAUCGCUAAACAAUCAGCCCGCGUGAGAUUAGGUAGUUGGUGGGGUAAUGGCCUACCAAGCCUACGAUCUCUAGCUGGUCUGAGAGGAUGAUCAGCCACACUGGAACUGAGACACGGUCCAGACUCCUACGGGAGGCAGCAGUGGGGAAUAUUGGACAAUGGGGGAAACCCUGAUCCAGCCAUGCCGCGUGAGUGAUGAAGGCUUUAGGGUUGUAAAGCUCUUUCACCGAUGAAGAUAAUGACGGUAGUCGGAGAAGAAGCCCCGGCUAACUUCGUGCCAGCAGCCGCGGUAAUACGAAGGGGGCUAGCGUUGUUCGGAAUUACUGGGCGUAAAGCGAGCGUAGGUUGCUCGACAAGUCAGUGGUGAAAGCCCAGAGCUCAACUCUGGAACUGCCAUUGAAACUGUCGAGCUGGAAUCUCAGAGGGGGUAGCGGAAUUCCAAAUGUAGGGGUGAAAUCCGUAGAUAUUUGGAGGAACACCGGUGGCGAAGGCGGCUACCUGGAUGAGUAUUGACACUGAGGCUCGAAAGCGUGGGGAUCAAACAGGAUUAGAUACCCUAGUAGUCC
rnacentral:rRNA from 1 species